ACUCUCUCUCUAUAUUGAAUGGCAAUCGCAAUCAGACUGAUAAUGGAAAACACCUUUCCGCUUAUCGAUUCAAUUAUCAGGCAAAAAGCAAACAAAGUUUCAGGAUUUCAAGCACAGCACAGCACAGCACAGUAUUGUAAUUAUUUUCUAUUUUAUUUUCGAAACUCUGGAUCCGCUGGCGGGGUUCAGUGCUCGACGGGCAUUAGAAGCUUAUUGCUGGAAGCGAGAAGCUCGCGGAGUGAGAAUCUCGGUUUGACGACGAUGGCAUUAUGCAAAUUUCCGGCGAUAAGCAGAGCAAAAAAAGUCAAGAAAAAAGCACUCGAAAAAGCAAAAAACCGAAAUGGGACGAAUGGAAAAAUUUGUAGGUUUCGGUUUCAGGGAACCCCUUUUGCAUUCCAAGAUUACCUUCAGAGAUAUUUAUAAACUGAUUCAAUGGGCUGGGGCGAGCAUAUGCCGUAGAUUUCUCAAUGGAACCAGUUUGGAAACAAAAAACAAUACAGAAGCCAUCGGCCAGACUGGCAAUCAUUUAAAUUCUUAUGUUCUACAAGCUUGUUUUUGAGUUUUGCAUCUAAAGCUUCCAUUGAAACUAAUCAGAAGCAACCAAUUAAUUUAAAACUUCUAACAAA
rnacentral:sRNA from 1 species